ensembl:miRNA
CACCAGGGCAUAGCAGGGCCGAUCAUCUCACUUCAGAGAGAGGGGAAGGGGCUGCUCAGUGAGCCCCCACAGGGCUCUGCAUCUCCAGCUGGGCCUGGCUGGGGGUCCCAGGGUCCCUGAAGGCCCCUGCCACUGGUCUGGUCUGUCUCUGUCCUGGCGUCCAG